CGGCAAGAGCUCAAAUUUGAAAUCUGGCCCUUUCAGGGUCCGAGUUGUAAUUUGUAGAGGGCGCUUUGGCGUCGGCUACGGCCUAAGUUCCUUGGAACAGGACGUCACAGAGGGUGAGAACCCCGUACGUGGCCGCUAGCCUUCGCCGUGUAAAGCCCCUUCGAC
rnacentral:rRNA from 1 species